rnacentral:rRNA from 1 species
UACGAAGGGGGCUAGCGUUGCUCGGAAUUACUGGGCGUAAAGCGCACGUAGGCGGUCUUUUAAGUCGGGGGUGAAAUCCUGGAGCUCAACUCCAGAACUGCCUUCGAUACUGGAAGACUCGAGUCCGGGAGAGGUGAGUGGAACUGCGAGUGUAGAGGUGAAAUUCGUAGAUAUUCGCAAGAACACCAGUGGCGAAAGGCGGCUCACUGGCCCGGUACUGACGCUGAGGUGCGAAAGCGUGGGGAGCAAACAGG